CUGGCCUGGAACCUACAGAGAUCCGCCUGCCUCUGCCUCCCGAGUGCUUGGAUUAAAGAAUGCAGGGACAUAUGACAAUGUGCAUGUUGACUUUACUUAGGAAAAGUGGGCUUUGCUGGAUCCUUCCCAGAAGACUCUCCAUAAAGAUGUGAUAUUGGAGACUACAGGAUCCUUACUGCUAUAGAUUUCCUCCAGAUGUCGUUUGUUUUCCAUGCUGGCUUGGAUGUCAGUAAUUAGUCAGGGCUCCCUUUGAACUCAUAGGUCUGGUGUUUCAUCCUCCUGAGUUCAAGACCAACAGUAGAUGAUGUACUCCUGAUGUGUGCUCCUUUGUAGACAUGUUUUAACAAUGUUAAUAUUAACAUGCUUAAUAGAAGAUAAGAAAAUACUUCAUGUGUCUAUCCCAAGAAGUGUCUGGUGGAGAUAUAAUAAAAUAGAAUAAUCAUCAAUCAUCUGUGUAUCUCAUAACAUAGCUUGUUGUAUUAUGGAGAUGUAUAUAGUUUUCAACAUUCCUGCUUCUUCAUGAUCCAGUUUUUAUCCAUUUGGCACUCAUCUUGAAGUAUUUUCUCCUAAAGGAAUUAUCUACAGAUGCCAGGUAAUGUAAAGACAGAUUUAUUUUUUAAAAACAUGUCUGGUGUGUGUGUGUGUGUGUGUGUGUGUGUGUGUGUGUGAUGAUGGGUUAGAAUGGGUAACAGAUAUGUUUGUGGGUUUUUUUUUAGUCUUAUUCACAUGUGAUCAAGGUCAGGUUGCCAGUCUUGCACACAACAUCACAUCAGUAUAAUAUUGUUCUCUAUUCAAAGUGGAAUUAUACUAUCAUUUAAGAAAAGAUCAACACAGGAUCUAUUUAUGCUCCCAUCUUUCUGUAUUUUUGUUAGUUUAUUCUUGGGUACUUUACAUUUGUGGUACCAGCACCGAUGUCCCCAGGAGCCGGGGAGAUGAAAUGCCAACUCAAGGGAUCAUGCAAUGAGCUAC
rnacentral:lncRNA from 1 species